GACGAACGCUGGCGGCGUGCUUAACACAUGCAAGUCGAACGACGUGGCGAACGGGUGAGUAACGCGUGAACAACUUGCCCAUCAGAGGGGGACAACAGUUGGAAACGACUGCUAAUACCGCAUACUGUAGGAGGGGAGUGCGUCUGAUUAGCUAGUUGGAGGGGUAACGGCCCACCAAGGCGAUGAGCAGUCGCCGGUCUGAGAGGAUGAACGGCCACAUUGGGACUGAGACACGUCCCAGACUCCUACGGGAGGCAGCAGUGGGGAAUCUUCCGCAAUGGACGAAAGUCUGACGGAGCAACGCCGCGUGAGUGAUGACGGCCUUCGGGUUGUAAAGCUCUGUGAAUCGGGACGCGGUACCGGAAUAGAAAGCCACGGCUAACUACGUGCCAGCAGCCGCGGUAAUUC
rnacentral:rRNA from 1 species